CAGUGUUAGCGGCUACAUAUGUAUGAGUCCUUAUGCGUUUGUUGUUAUGCUCGAUAGGGUACGAUGCAACUGUGCAGCAGAAUAAUUACCGAUCGGGGCUCGUGCAGGAUGCAGGAAUAAAAUUGGCAUGCAUCGCUUGUGGCAUUUAUUCUCGGCCAUACGACCCAGUCAUACUGGCAAACAAAUAAUAAGUACCUUGCCAUCCGUACACGGCCGCACGAGUACUUCAACAACAACCGUUGCAAGCAGAACUUCGAAUUUUUACUUCGUACGUUUGUUCUCGUGUAGGUUGUAGCAUUAUAAUAAUACACAGAAAUCACUGUCAAUUAAACGUACAGUUGAGUGAGAUUCGCUGACUCGAGGAUUAAAUAGCGUGGUAUAGUGCGGCACGCUGCAACAGACCGACCGAUAUUCGGUAACCGUUCUAGCAUAGACAUCGAUAUGGGUUGAACUUAAAUCACUGGCGUUGCGACUCUCCUCAUCUGAAAGGUAUCGUUGACCUUUUCAAGAGACGAGUUUCGACUCCGGAGCCGACGACGUAGUAUUUUGCCGUCAUAUUCAAUGGGAUCCAAAAAAGGCGAGGAGAAGCAAGUACCACUGGAGCUGGAAGAGGACGAAAAUGAAAAGCCUUAUCUAACGUACUUCCUAGCAGCCGGUGUGGUCAUCUCGACAGCGAUCGGCUUGUAUGUCGGUAUACUCUUUCAUCCAGCAGCACUUGCAGUCCUCGUUCUAGGCAACGCAGUAUGCCUUGCUUGUUCGGAACUGUUUUUGCAUACGGGAAAAUCAUUCACAGUUAAUCCACAAAGAACACCAAAAGAGCUUAUUGCAGGUAAAUUGAACACGUCAUUUAAUGAACAACUGUAAAGUCACCACUUGCAAUUAAUUUGGCUCUGAUACGGCUUCUUCUGCAGGCUAUUUUUGUUAAGAACACUUUUUUUGGUCGCGUAUUCGCGUUUCAUCUACAAGAAAAAAGAGCCACAAUCUGCAUGAACGUGCACAAAAACGCUACAAAGAUGGCCAGUCAGUCAUAAAGGAAAUCGUAGUAAGUAAUUGAACUAAAAACGAUAAUAUUUAUAUAGUACCAUUGACCGUCACUAUACUAAUUGUUUAUUACGUAAGCUGACAAAAAUAAAGCGAAUGCCAAUAUUUUUACGUGACGUUUCUUGUUUGUAUUACUCUACGGUUCGAAUCCUCGUUUGACUGGUGACGUAUGUGUUUUGUAGGUACAUUCUGAUGCACCUCACAAAAUCUGAAACGUUAAACAUGUAAAACAUCCAAAUUUUCAAAGAUAUCAAUUCAA